rnacentral:lncRNA from 1 species
UAGGAGUAAUUUGACCCACAGUACUCACAGCAAGCACCUGGAGUGCUCUCCCUCUGUGUAAAGCAAAUCUUCUGACUUCAUCGAUUUUGUACUUGGUAUGAUGUUUUGCCUUCCACAGACCUCUUUUGCUUUUAAAAGUGAAGGUGUUAGAUAAGUCCCUUUGGAAAAAGUGAGGUGUUAUGCUAUUAAAUUGAAUUUCCUUUUGCUAUCAGUAUUUUCUGUGCUAAUAGAAAGUCUAGCUGAAGAGUGAAAAAAGAGAUAGUGGAGGUAGUGUGCACUGUAACCAUAUUUGUUGCAGGAGUGAAUAAGACAGCUUGCAAACCCAUGAAUUUAAAUAUUACCCUGACUACAUUGCACAUGUUCUGGCCAUAGUCUCACUACCUCUUGCUCUGCUUCAGGCAAAUGGAAUUGAUAGCAGGGGUUACUUCAGUGAUUCUCAGAUUUUUCUCCCAGAGUCAGCCCUGACAACAUUUUUAGGAAUGCAAAUUCUCUGUCCCACUCUAGACCUAUUGACUCAGAACCGCUGGGGGUGGGCCCAGCAUCUGUGGUGUAACACUCCCUCCAGGUAAUUCUGAUGAGACUCCCAGCCUAUUGUAGCUCAAGCCUGAUUACAUGUUAGAUUCACCUGUGGAGCACCCUGCCCCAUCAAGUAUUUUAAGAUAAAAACAAAAAUAGCAACAAAACCAAAACACCCCAGCUGAUUUCAGUGUAAACAAGUAUUGAAACCUAUUUCUCUAGACCUUGCUUCCAGGCACAAAGCAAAGUCACUUAAAAGUUUUCAUUUUAACAGGCUUCCAUGAAUCAGAGUAGCUCCCUUUUAGCAUCUGCGGUUCCCAAACUCCUUCACUGUAAUCCUUUACUGCUUAUUUCAGUCUGAAAGGCCUCUGUAAAAUGCAAAUGUUACCUAUGAGGAAUGACACUUGGAAUUAGUAUAGACUGAUAGAUUUUUUUUUUUCCUACUAACUUAGCAGUUCUUCUCUAGCAGUGCUUCUCAAACAUCACAUCUGGAUGACUAGUCAAGGAAAGGUUGCUAUACCCACCUCUAGAGUUUCUCAUUCUGAAGGUCUGCAGAGGGCUCAGUAAUUUUCAUUUGUAACAAAUUACAGGUGAACUGGCUGUGCAGGCCCUGGGACUAUAAAAAACAGUGCUUUGAGGGAAGGAGCUUCCUGAGGAACGGGGUUUGCAGGAUGUUGCGGAGAGAAGCGUUUGCACUACUCUUCCCCAAAGGAAAGGCCUGAGCAUCACAGAGACCCCCAGAUCAUGAAGAAAUAGAAGGGCAGCUCUAAGUCAGUCACAGUUAAUCUGGUAUCAUAAGAUCAGUGUUAGAAUGUUUUAUCUAUGAUUUUUAACAGAUUUUAGCUAGUAUUUUCCAAAUCUUAAUGUGCAGCAGAAUAGUUAUAGAAGCUUGUUAAUAAACCCAGAACUUGGGCGUCAUCUCUGCAAUCUCUUUGCAAGACAUCUCGGAUAAAGCGCAGGAAUAAGCAACCUGGGUAAGUUUGUUGUAAAUGGUCUUUUAUGUAUUUGUUUGGAACUCUUUAUUCACCAGAACUGAGGGCCUGUAUUACUAUUUUUUUAUGAAACAUAUCUGGAGAUUUAAUCAUAAAAAAUAUUCUGUGAGUUGUUCUGGUAUACUUUUGCUUUGCAUUCAGAAUGACCUCUACCACUUCUAAAUUGUGGUGUCCUUGUUUGAAAAUCAUUCAGUGAACUCCUUAAAAACCUGAAGAUCAUAUGCUUAUAUAUUAGGCAUUUUUAUAUGAUAGAACUGUCAAAUUCAUCUAAAUUCAGGAGACAUGAGGGGCCCUGCUGUAGGUCCUCUAUUCACAAUUGUAGAAAUGCAUUUGGAUGAGGAAGAGCACGUGGGGAAAGGGCCUGGGGCUUCAUUCUAAGGAAUUCCAGUAACUGUUAGCUUUCCACAUAAUAAUAGCUACUGUAUUCCUGCCAUGCUGAUGGAAAUCUCUAAAGAUCGGGGUGUUGUCAACUCUUAUGGUUUGAAAACACCCAGGCACUUCUAAAAAAAUAUCAGCAGUUGUUGUUAGAGUUUUAUUGUCUUGUUCCUUUUGUAAACCCUAGUUUAAGACCCAGGGUAAUACAGGAUAGUAGCAUGCUUAAAAUGAACCUUGAAUCUUCCUGCACAGGAAAAAGGGUUGCUUUUUCCCAGGUGCCCUCAAGGAUAGUUAGGGAUGGUUACUCAGUUAUAAACAGGGAUGAUGCUGUAAGAGAUGUAGGUGGCAUAUUUAAAUCUUUAGGAAAAUUAGAAAAGUCAUUAUAAAAUCUGCUCACUGGGAAGAAAGGAGGAGUAUCGUUCUUCAAGAACCUUUAGCUUUUUUUAAAAACAAGUUGAGUGAAUAACCCAUUGUAGCAAAGUACUACUGGAUUACCCUACUAUCUAGAAAGCUAUUGACUUCCAUCAAGAAACCAUGAGAGGUAGCAGUUGAGGACAUUUAAAAAGUAUAUGCAGGAAUAUCUGGUGCUUAAAGAAUAUAUGCAUCUAUUGUUAAACUUAAUAUUUUAUAUAGGCUAAAAUUCCAUGUUUCACUAAGUGUUAUUGAUAAUGCCCACGGAAUGAUCCAUCUUGUUGGGUGUGGUGUUCUGGAGAUUUUCCUUUAAAAACAUUUCCCCAUAUGCUUAGUCUGUACUUUCACUGUAUUAAAAGUUGUAAAACUGAAAUGAGCUUGUAGGCAGUUACUUAAAAGGAACAGUGUGUUGAGGUCACUGCACAUAUUGAUUUAAACUAGGCUGGCUCACAUGUUGUUAGGCUUGGGGAAUGUUUUCUCCUAUGAGAAAAUGGUGACGUUUAUUCAGACAUUCAAGCUUGUCCUCAUCUUUGGUUCCUGUAUUUAGCAGAGAGAGCAUGGGAACAGAGGUAGCUGGCUGUCAGAGAACGUUGCCAGGUUUCAGGGUCUCUAAAGAAAUGUCUUGAGUAGAACACUCCAGAAUAUUUCCUAAUUUUAAAGCUAUAAAACAGUUAGUAUUCUGCUCAGGCUGAUAGGCAGUUCCUGUAAUCACGCUGUACUAGGUGUUAUACUACAGAAGGCAUAAAAAUUGCUUUAAGCAGUAUGUUUUCCUUUCUGGCAUUUAGGAGAAACUAAACGUGGAAAGAUGUGAAUGUCCCUCUGAAUUUGCUUGUUUGGUCUAGGAGAGGGUUAUUUGUUAAGAUCAUGGAGAUGCUUUUAUGAAUGGUACUUUAUAAAAUGAAAAAAAUAUUACUACCUCUCUUUCUGUUACUGUUACUCUUUUUCCAGCAAUAAUACACUUCUGAUCUUGGUGUAAAUGUCAUAUUGUGUGAAUAUGCAAACAUCACAUCCGCCUACAUAUGUUCUGUUGCUUAGUAAUUCUUGGCACUGGCACAUCAUGAAUUCUGUGCCUAAUAAAUGAGAUAUCCAUCAGAAUGAAAAAUGAACUAUGUUGGUCUCUUGAAUAUGAUAUUGAUCUUUCAGAUUUUAGUUGUGAAAAAGUUGGCUGCAUGCUAGUAAAGAAAUUUGGAAGGGAAUUAAGUUUAAGAGUAGGAUUUGUUAACUUGUUCAUCAAAUAAGGCUUAUAACAUCUAAUACUUUUCCCUAGACCUGGGCCAAUAUUUCAAAGCAUUUAUUUAAAGAUUUACAGAUUCCGGAUACAUAGAUAAAGUUUUUUCAGAAAAAAUUUACUCCAAAGAGUCUGUAAAAUUCUCCUUUUUAUAGUACAUACUCGAGCAACUUCCGGAAUGAUGCCUUGAAGAUCAAUGAAUUGUCUUCAUUAAUUAGUACUAUUAUUUCGGUCAUCUUUUCAACUCUUAGCCCAUAUCCUUUUCUGUAAUGUCUACUCAUAAAUCUCUGUAAAAAGAUAAAAGGGUACAAUUUGAUAAAUUAUAUGCAUACACCCUUGAAACCAUCACCACAAUCAAGAUAAUAAACAUAUCCAUCACCCCCUAAAAGUCUCCCUGUGUUUCUUUGCAAUCCCUCUCUCCCACCCAUUGCAGCUCUCCCCUAUGCCCUCCCCAGGCAACCACUGAGCUACUUUCUGUCACUAUUGUCAAACACAAAUUGUCUAGAAUUGUUACGUCUAUGAAUUCAUACGGUAUAUACUCUUUUGCUUGGCUUCCCCACUAAGCAUGACCAUUUUGAGAUUCAUUCACACUGCAGCACAUGGCAAUGUUUCAUUCUUUUAAUUGCUAAGUAGUAUCCCAUCAGAAGGAUUUGAUAGAGAUAGGUUGUCAGCUUUGAAUCAUCAAAUUAAAUUAUAUAUGUCUAUUAAUAUAAUUUUAGAUUUUUCUGAAUUUGAGAGACACUGUCUCUGCCCCAAGUAAUUAAAACGCAUUUCUUUAAUGAGGACUUUGAAUCCACCAAACAGGGUACCAGAUGUAAUACUCUAUUUGUAUGUCAUUCCUUCACUCCUAGAUGUUCAUUUUAACAUGAGUAUUUUCUCAGUUCUUACCUCAUGCUAAAAACUGAGGAUAUAAAGUUUUUGAAAAGUCGCUCUUUUCACUUAGGAGCUCACACUUCUGUAAGAGAGACAGACAUACUUUGAUCUUAACAGUAGAUGUUUGGACAGAGGAACCAAGAAAAGUUAGAUAGCACAUGAUAAAGGAGGUAUUAGAAUCAGUUCCAAAGGAGGACAAGAAUCAAUUAAAUGUUUUGAAUCACAGUCUUCCCCAAGAGGAAGGAGGGCAGGGUGUUUCCAUUCCUCCUCAAAUCAAGAGAAGGGAUGUAAAGAGACCACUAAGAAUUUGAGACAAGAAUCUUGGGAGUUUCCGUCAUGCCUCAGUGGUUAACAAAUCCAACUAGGAACCAUGAGGAACCAUGAGGUUGCGGGUGCAAUCCCUGGCCUUGCUCAGUGGGUUAAGGAUCUGACACUGUGGUGAGCUGUGGUGUAGGUCACAGGUGCAGCUUGGAUCCCACAUUGUUGUGGCUCUGGCGUAGGCCGCUGGCUACAGCUCUGAUUAGACCCCUACCCUGAGAACCUCCAUAUGCUUCCAGAGCAGCUCUAGAAAAGACAAAAAGACUAAAAAAAAUUUAAAAAAAAAAUUUUAAAAAAUUGUGUUUUAUUGAUGAGUACAGAGUAUACUGCCUGGAAAACUGGAACAGUAAGAUGUAUACUUCAACUCCCUGAGUUUGAGAGGGUGUCAGUGGAUCAGCUGUCAACUACACCAUGGGAUGAAACCAACAUACAGCCACUUUAAUUCAUUAAGUAUGUAUUUUAUAGCCCUUAACUCAGGAGAAUAUGGAAUAAAAAUGAGUGAUGUUUUAGUAGCCAAGUUAUUUAUUACUUCAGCUGAAACAUGGUGCUUCUAUGUCCUUACCUUGACCUCAGUAAUGCUGCUCUUCUCUUUUGCUUCACACGCAGUCUCUUAGGUAUUUUACCUUCACUCAUAGCUUCAGCUACCAACUAUGUGGUGAUAGCUUUUAAGGUUUUAUAUAUGUACUCUGGAUUUAUAUCUAAUCACAUAUGUGACCUUUUCAACUGGCUUUCUAAUGGGUACUUGAGAUGUCCAGAUAAACUUAUUUUUUUUAAACCACUGUUCUUACUUAUAUAUUAAUUGUGUCAUCUCAAGUAGAUGAUGCAAUUAUCUACUCAUUUGCUACCAAAUCUAUAAUGGGAGUCUCCCUAGAUACUUCAGUUAUACCUUCACCCUUCAUGUCCUAUAAAUUACCAUGUAGCAUUAGGUUUAUCAUCAUUCAUUCCUGUUUGUCAUCAUUACAACUAGCAUAGUUCAGACUUUUCAUCACUUGUGUACACUCUCACUUAACUUUCCUGCCUCCAUUCAUGUCUCACUAAAAUUUAGCUUUAGUGAAAUAUCUAGAUAUUCUUUUACUAAAAUAAAAAUAGGAUCAUGUCAUUCCCUUGACUAAAAUCCUUUAACAGUGUCUUAAAAUCCAAGCUUUGAAAUGUAGGAAAUAAUUGGUUCCUUGAACUUUCUCCUGCCUACACUCUAGCCAUAUCUGUUGCCCUCUGCCUUUGAUUUAAUGUUCAUGAAACAUAUAAACUGUCUGUAAUUCCCACUUAUAUCAUACUGUAUCUCCCUUAAGUGUCCCUGUUCUUGUGCUAUUUUCUCUGCCAGGAAUGCCCUCUCCACUGCUAUUCAUAUUUUAAACAUAGCCAUUCUUGCUAUGAAGCUUUCACUGAAUGCCGCAUGUAGGGUGAUGAAACUUACUCUAAAUAUUUUUUGUAUCUUUUGUACUAUCAAAAUAUUUAUCAUAUUGAUGCAUCUCGUUUCCCUGCUGAAUGUUAGUUUUUAAUUUCCAGUGCAUAACAAGGUCAUUGGUGUAUUGGAAGUAUUAGAUGAAUGAUUGAAUAAAUGGCUGCUAGUCCUGCUUGGUAGUUUAUACUCUACAUAUACACCUUCUAUGAAGGGAGACACAGAUGAUAUUUGAAGUAGGUCGCAAAGGCAGUCUAGAUUGUUGAUCAGAUUGAAUAUGCUAGUAUCAUGAUGGAGGCGGGUUUUUGAAGAAUUAUAAUUUUUAAAUUAGUGGUAAUAUGGUUAAAAAGGGAUGUAAGGGUGUUAAGAACAGGAGAUUUUAGCAGUUUUCCAAGAUGAUUACACUUAAAGUGGGAGUGGAAAAGGAAAUAAAUAGGUUUGAAAGAUACCAUCAGGGGAGUUCCCACUGUGGCACAGCGGAAAUGUAUCCGACUAUAUCUGAGGGCAAAUGUUGGACCUCUGGCCUCGCUUAGGAUCUGGCAUUGCUGUGAGCUGUGGUGUAGGUCACAGAUAUGGCUCGGAUCCUGCGUUGCUGUGGUGCAGCUCCAAUUCAAUUUAGCUCUUAGUGUGGGAACCUCCAUAUGCUGCAGGUGUGGCCU